rnacentral:rRNA from 1 species
CAGAGGGGGCAAGCGUUGUUCGGAAUUACUGGGCGUAAAGGGCGCGUAGGCGGCCUUCUAAGUCGAACGUGAAAUCCCCGGGCUCAACCCGGGAACUGCGUCCGAGACUGGAAGGCUUGAAUCCGGGAGAGGGAUGUGGAAUUCCAGGUGUAGCGGUGAAAUGCGUAGAUAUCUGGAGGAACAUCGGUGGCGAAGGCGGCAUCCUGGACCGGUAUUGACGCUGAGGCGCGAAAGCCAGGGGAGCAAACGGGAUUAGAUACCCCGGUAGUCCUGGCCCUAAACGAUGAAUGCUUGGUGUGGCGGGUAUCGAUCCCUGCCGUGCCGAAGCUAACGCAUUAAGCAUUCCGCCUGGGGAAAAGUACGGUCGCAAGGCUG